UACGAAGGGGGCUAGCGUUGCUCGGAAUCACUGGGCGUAAAGCGCACGUAGGCGGAUCGUUAAGUCGGAGGUGAAAUCCUGGAGCUCAACUCCAGAACUGCCUUCGAUACUGGCGAUCUUGGAGUCCGGGAGAGGUGAGUGGAACUCCGAGUGUAGAGGUGAAAUUCGUAGAUAUUCGGAAGAACACCAGUGGCGAAGGCGGCUCACUGGCCCGGUACUGACGCUGAU
rnacentral:rRNA from 1 species